AGUGAACGAUGGCGGCAGGCUUAACACAUGCAAGUCGAGGGGUAACAGGAGUGCUUGCACUCGCUGACGACCGGCGCACGGGUGAGUAAUAUAUAGGUAAUGUGCCCUAGAGAAGAGGAUAACAGUUGGAAACGACUGCUAAUACUCUAUAUGCCUUUAAGACAAAAGUCUGCAAGGGAAAUAUUUAUAGCUCUGGGAUCGGCCUGUACGGUAUCAGCUAGUUGGUGAGGUAAUGGCUCACCAAGGCAAUGACGCCUAACUGGUUUGAGAGGAUGAUCAGUCACACUGGAACUGAGACACGGUCCAG
rnacentral:rRNA from 1 species